rnacentral:rRNA from 1 species
UACGGUGGGGGCAAGCGUUGUUCGGAAUUACUGGGCGUAAAGGGCGCGUAGGCGGCCACCGCAAGUCGACUGUGAAAUCUCCGGGCUUAACUCGGAAAGGUCAGCCGAUACUGCGGGGCUAGAGUGCAGAAGGGGCAACUGGAAUUCUCGGUGUAGCGGUGAAAUGCGUAGAUAUCGAGAGGAACACCUGCGGCGAAGGCGGGUUGCUGGGCUGACACUGACGCUGAUGUGCGAAAGCUAGGGGAGCGAACGGG